UGCAGGAGUGGCGGAAUGGGCAGACGCAUACGUUUGAGGGGCGUAUACCAAUUUGGUGUGCGGGUUCAAGUCCCGCCUUCUGCACCAA
rnacentral:tRNA from 1 species